rnacentral:rRNA from 1 species
UACGUAGGGUGCAAGCGUUGUCCGGAAUUAUUGGGCGUAAAGAGCUCGUAGGCGGUUCGUCGCGUCGGCUGUGAAAACCCGGAGCUCAACUCCGGGCCUGCAGUCGAUACGGGCGGACUCGAGUUCGGCAGGGGAGACUGGAAUUCCUGGUGUAGCGGUGAAAUGCGCAGAUAUCAGGAGGAACACCGGUGGCGAAGGCGGGUCUCUGGGCCAAAACUGACGCUGAGGAGCGAAAGCGUGGGGAGCGAACAGG